rnacentral:misc_RNA from 1 species
AACUCCAGAGCAGGAGGUGCAGUUUGGCAGGUUCUGAGUCCUAUAUCUCUCUGUUCCUUCCUUUCCCAAUAAAUAAUCCUCCCAAUCAUUAGGCCCAACCAGAAUCUUCCAGUGGGAGAAAGAGGAAUCAUGUUUUGUGCGUUUACAGUCUUCUCGUCUGAGCCGACGGGUGAAGGAUUUGUCAGCAGCUCCCAUUGAGCUCUUCAGCUG